AUGAACGCUAGCGGCGUUAACACAUGCAAGUCGAGGGGCAAGUUUGCUUGCAAACUGCGACCGGCGCACGGGUGAGUAACACGUGGGCAACCUGCCCUGAAGUGGGGGAUAACAUCUGGAAACAGGUGCUAAUACCGCAUAACAACGAAACCACAUGGUUUUCGUUCAAAGAUGUUCGUAUCACUUCAGGAUGGGCCCGCGGUGCAUUAGCUAGUUGGUAAGGUAACGGCUUACCAAGGCAAUGAUGCAUAGCCGAGUUGAGAGACUGAUCGGCCACAAUGGAACUGAGACACGGUCCAAACUCCUACGGGAGGCAGCAGUGGGGAAUCUUCCGCAAUGGACGAAAGUCUGACGGAGCAACGCCGCGUGAGUGAAGAAGGCUUUCGGGUUGUAAAGCUCUGUUGUUGGAGAAGAAUGGUCGGGAAUAGUGAGAAGGAUUGACGGUACCGGAAUAGAAAGCCACGGCUAACUACGUGCCAGCAGCCGCGGUAAUACGUAGGUGGCGAGCGUUAUCCGGAUUUACUGGGCGUAAAGGGAGCGUAGGCGGAUGAUUAAGUCUGAUGUGAAAGCCCUCGGCUUAACCGAGGAAGUGCAUCGGAAACUGGGAAACUAGAGUGCAGGAGAGGAAAGUGGAAUUCCUAGUGUAGCGGUGAAAUGCGUAGAUAUAUGGAAGAACACCAGUGGCGAAGGCGGCUGUCUGGUCUGUAACUGACGCUGAGGCUCGAAAGCAUGGGUAGCGAACAGGAUUAGAUACCCUGGUAGUCCAUGCCGUAAACGAUGAAUACUAGGUGUGGGGGGUUUCCGCCCUUCAGUGCUGCAGUUAACGCAUUAAGCAUUCCGCCUGGGGAGUACGACCGCAAGGUUGAAACUCAAAGGAAUUGACGGGGGCCCGCACAAGCGGUGGAGCAUGUGGUUUAAUUCGAAGCUACGCGAAGAACCUUACCAGGUCUUGACAUCUUGCGCCAACCUCAGAGAUGAGGCGUUCCCUUCGGGGACGCAAAGACAGGUGGUGCAUGGUCGUCGUCAGCUCGUGCCGUGAGAUGUUGGGUUAAGUCCCGCAACGAGCGCAACCCUUGUUACUAGUUGCCAGCAUUCAGUUGGGCACUCUAGUGAGACUGCCGGUGACAAACCGGAGGAAGGUGGGGACGACGUCAGAUCAUCAUGCCCCUUAUGACCUGGGCUACACACGUGCUACAAUGGCCGGUACAACGAGCAGCUAACCCGCGAGGGUGUGCAAAUCUCUUAAAGCCGGUCUCAGUUCGGACUGCAGUCUGCAACUCGACUGCACGAAGUCGGAAUCGCUAGUAAUCGCGGAUCAGCAUGCCGCGGUGAAUACGUUCCCGGGCCUUGCACACACCGCCCGUCCAA
rnacentral:rRNA from 1 species